rnacentral:lncRNA from 1 species
GUUUGGGAUGUAUGGAUGUACGUACAAGUAAGGGACGUACAUACUUAUAGAAAAAAACAAGGAUACAACUCAUUAUGGUGGGGGCAUAACAAUAGUAGUAUGACCUCAGGAAUAAAAAGUUUAUAUACACUAGAUUCAUACAAUGUUGAUCUGAGGUGCUUAUAACCCUACAACACGUUUUAGUUUCUGCUGUGUAAUCACCAUUGAGGCAAUGUUAUUUGAAUUUUUUGUUUUGAGCCAUUUAUUUGAUAUACUAGUAAUCAUUGCAUCAGUCUUAGGACGACACAUUGUUAAUUAUACAUGUAGGUCAAUCUUAAGAAUUUUACUGCCCCAGGAAUAAAGUGUGAGGAUAAAAAGUUCUGGAUCCGCUACUGCAUUGUUAAGCACUAAGAAAGUCAGUUUGCUAGUACAAUGUACAUGGCCCGUGACAAAUGUUAUUAAAUCAUUUUUUACAGCACUUGUCUUUAGCUUGAUCUCGGUCUUGAUACACUGAACUAUAAUAUUCUAAGAAGUAGAUGAUGACUCGGUUGCUUUUAAAUUAUACUGAUGCUAUGAUACUUAUUGUCAUUAAAACGUUUUUUUGAUGUCUGUUGUCAGUUUGAUGCACUUGAGCAUGCUGAACAAGUGAAGGUCCUCA